ensembl:lncRNA
CGGAAACCGAAAGGAGCUGAUUUCUGCAGGAAGGAGAAGGGAGUUGCCACCGACAUCGGACACCGGAAAGCAGGCUCGUUGUGUUGCGUAAGCUCUUUCGACCUCGUCUGAAAAACGAGCUUGAUAGCUCACGGAAAAGUCGUGAGGAUAGAUGCGGAAGGGAGAAAUUCACACGCAGAAUGAAGUUUAAGAAAAAACUUAAGUAUAUGAGGGCUUUGAAAACAGAACACCGUUGUUUCUGUGAUUCGAUCAUUCAGAAAUUAUGAAGGCACAGUUCUUGCCUUUGAUUGACUUAUAGUCAAGUGGAGUGGACACAGGUCAUGGUGGCAGUAUAGCCACUUAAGUAUUCCGAAGGAGGUGAGUGUGUGGCACUUAACAGCCUGAGAGAGGGAGAAAUUAGUGCUUCUAAGAAGCGACUUUUAUACAGGCAUUUAUACAGGUGGACAAGGAACGGGGAGGGUGGGGGGCGGGGGUGGGGUGGGUCAUUCCAGAUUUCCAGGAAUCUGUGGCUGAAUUGUAAAUUGUACAGAAGACACUGUCAGAUGUUUUACCUAGAGUGUUAGCCUUAUUUUUGGCUCAUGCUUCUCUUGUUUUCCUUCUCUCACUGCUUCCUCCCCCUUAACUGGAUGGGUGUUUGGGAUAUGAAAGGAAGUCAGGGUAGAAAUCUUUCAGAGUGGCAGAAUAAUAGGAUGGUUAUACGAAAAAGUAAUGUAUCUACUCAGUAAAUCCGUUUGUAAAAACUAAGUUCCUGCUUUGUUUAAAUGCAUAGCUAGGAAACCUCAAUUUGUUCGUUGGAUUCUUUCCCAGUGAGUGGAUUAUGUUCUUGUCUCCAGUUCAGUCUUUUUGAAUAUAAGGACAUUUAAGGUGCUUUCAAAGAAAAGAUCCCCACAUUUAAGUUUAGGAAUGAGCACAGGGGAGACAGCAAGAUUAGAAUCCAAGUUCAUACUACAAAAACAUUUUUGUUGGCUCUAUCUGGGUGAUUGCAUGUUGUUUUAAUCAGCUGCAAGCUGUUAAAUUGAAUUUGCAUAGCUCGCAUAAAUGACAGUUUAAUUCCACCAGGAUUUGAGUGAGGUGGAAAUAGAGCAGAAAAACCUGAAUUUGUCAAACUGGGGAAAAUGAAGAAAAGGCAAUCAAUUAGUAAGUUGGGCUUAAUGUUUUUUUCUGGGAUUGGGGAAUUGCAGAAAAGCAGCUCUGUAAUAGUAAGACAUGAACUGUUCACUAGCAUUUCUAAAAUAUUUGGGAGCAUUUUACUGACUUGGGGCAUAGUUGUGCCCUGCUCAUGGUUAAUGCUCCUUGCAGGAGACUUCCUAAUUCACAGAAAAGAUGCUGACUGGGUGGACUCUUUACAAAUCACAAAGUGUCUUGCAUCUAGGUUCAUUAACCAUUGGUUGCUGUGAAGGAAGCAUAUGUAAGAGUUCUAAUCUGUUAAAGCUUUAAGUUAUAAAAGUAAUAAAUGACCAUUCCCUCAGUAUCUUGACAUGCUAGAAGACAGUGUUCUAAAAGCUGGACUUGUCAUGUUCUUCUGGAGACUAACAAAAUAGAGUCCUUGAAGUCAAGCUGACUCUGCUUUUAGCCUCCUAAAUGAAAAGGUAGAUAGAACAGGUCUUGUGUGCAAAAUGAAUUCAAGACCUACUUAUCUACCAACAGCAAUGAUAACAGUUUGCAUCAUCUUCCUGUAGAACAUAGGAGUAGUAAAUACAGAGAUGAGUGAGGGUGAAGAGAGACUUAGCGAACCUAUGAGACUCUUACUCUUUAAUUGAUAGGAAAGCAAUUGGAAAUUGGAGAGGUUGGUUAGGAAAGUGGACGAGAGGACCUUUCCUGUAGUGCAGGCUUCAGAGUGUCCAGGAAGUCUCCAGAUGGCUAAACUUCCUUGGAUGGAGACCAGCAUAGUGUUGUUUACAGAAUGCUGCAUCAUGGUGAAUCGUGCUGGGGGCACCUGUCAGUGUGUGAGCCAUGUAAGGUUUUCACAUGUGCUGGAACAUGGAAAGAGCAGACCGAUGACCGAGCACAAGCUUCAGAAAUAUUUUAUUGGAUGUGUACAAGUGCUUGCAAACUGUAGUUUGAAUCAACAGGGAGUUGGUUAUUAAACAUAAUACUUCUCCAAAGAAAAGGCAAUUCAGUUUUACUAGAAACCAGUGUCAUUUUAUAUCCCAAGUCUCUAACCAACUUUGCAAUCUCAUCUAAUAAGGGUGCCUUAGGUUCUGAGUGUUCUAAAUCUCUGAACCCCUGUUAGUCUACACCAGGAUUCUGUGGUGGUUUUACAUAUUCCCUUUCCCCUUUGUUAAGGUGGGAGGCCAAAGCAUACGUUAAUUACUUGCUCAAGAGUUAUAUGGUGAUAUAGGUAAAGCUAAGAAAAGAACAGAUUUUGAUACCUUUUGUCUUAAUUGCCCAUUAUGAAGGAUUGUGGCUACAGUGGUCUGAUUUUUUUUUUUUAAUCUUUUUCUGUUUUGUUUUUUAACAGAUUUAUCAGCAGGUUGCAGGUGAACAUGGCCUUGAGGUAAAUCCUGCCCCUUGUUGAAAUGUAGUUUCAGUAGAUAGUUCUUGGCAUUUUAAGGAAUUAGAAUAUUUACCAAAAAAAAAAAAGUUUUGGUUCUUUUCUAGACUUUUUUUUUUUCUUGUAGAAGAUGAGAAACAUAUUAAAGGUUCUUUAUAAGCUGAGUAAUUGUGAUACUUGAAGUUGGUCAUCUGCCUUGUUUAAAUUAAAUGGAUUUUAAAUGUCAGAGCUAAUUGUAGACCAUUUUUCCUUGAUCAAAAUAAAAUCUUAUUAAAACCUUAUAUAUGCCUAGUUUUUAUCCAUUUUAUCUUAUAUGUGAAAUAAAGCCUGAAAAACCCUGUGUUCAAACUUAUUUGAUCUGUGAGGUCCAACCUCCUACUCAGUAGUUUUUUUAGUAGCUGAGAGCAUUUUUGAAUACACACACACACACACACACACGCACACAC